rnacentral:rRNA from 1 species
UGGGGAAUUUUCCGCAAUGGGCGAAAGCCUGACGGAGCAAUACCGCGUGAGGGAAGAAUGCCUGUGGGUUGUAAACCUCUUUUCUCAGGGAAGAAGUUCUGACGGUACCUGAGGAAUAAGCAUCGGCUAACUCCGUGCCAGCAGCCGCGGUAAUACGGAGGAUGCAAGCGUUAUCCGGAAUCACUGGGCGUAAAGCGUCUGUAGGUGGCUCAGCAAGUCCGCUGUUAAAUCUUAGGGCUCAACCCUAAACCAGCAGUGGAAACUUCUAAGCUAGAGUAUGGUAUGGGUAGAGGGAAUUCCCAGUGUAGCGGUGAAAUGCGUAGAUAUUGGGAAGAACACCAGAGGCGAAAGCGCUCUGCUAGGCCAUUACUGACACUCAGAGACGAAAGCUAGGGGAGCAAAUGGGAUUAGAUACCCCAGUAGUC